rnacentral:rRNA from 1 species
UAAUACGUAGGGGGCAAGCGUUAUCCGGAAUUACUGGGCGUAAAGGGUGCGUAGGUGGUUUGACAAGUCAGGGGUCAAAGGCUACGGCUUAACCGUAGUAAGCCCUUGAAACUGUCGAACUUGAGUGCAGGAGAGGUAAGUGGAAUUCCUAGUGUAGCGGUGAAAUGCGUAGAUAUUAGGAGGAACAUCAGUGGCGAAGGCGACUUACUGGACUGUAACUGACACUGAGGCACGAAAGCGUGGGGAGCAAACAGG